CGCGCGCUCGGGCCGCAGUGUCGCAUCACCGCCACGCCUCGUGUCCCUCCGCCCCUCACGGCUUCCCGCGCUCGGGCCGCAGUGUCGCAUCACUUCCACGCCUCGUGUCCCUCCGCCCCUCACGGCUUCCCGCGCUCGAGCCGCAGUGUCGCAUCACUUCCACGCCUCGUGUCCGUCCAGGGCUCGGGCCCCAUGGCUCUGCCCUCCCUGUCCCGCUGCAGCGGGUAGCUGAUCACCCGUGUCCUGCCAGGAGCACGCUCCAGCGCCAGGGACAUCACAAGUCGGUUUGGGGAAGAGAUCCUCUCGGGAUGCUUGAGGACAGAAUGUCACCUGAAUGAGCUACUCCCUACACUAACCAGAAGGUGACUGGACAAUUUACAUCUGUGUACUUACUGAAAGGAAGGCUGAAGAAUCCUUUAUGUUGUCCAGGAGUAGCUUAUGGAUACAACUUCAGUGUCCUACAGCUGGAUCAGCCCUUCCCCUCUUUCCCCUUCAAUCCCAUGAUGCAGGAAGACCACAUGUGGAGGUACAGCCUGUAGAGUCCCAGCAAACAGGAGAAUCCUGCACUGCCCAGCAACGUGCCCGGUUUAGCGAGAAGUUGGAGUUUCAUUUGCCAUCAAAACAUGACCCCUGCUGGAGGACCAAGGAUGUGACUUUCAGUUAUUCAUACGGACAGCCCCACACGGAGAAUGGCAGAGAUGUGAUUAAUGUGAUAUGAUACAGCUGUCACUGGCUGCAGGAAAUCACAGACUACUAAAGAAAGGUCGGCUUAAAAAGAAUUCUUAAAGUAUUCACCCAACUGCAAAGGUCAGAAGAGUGAGAGGUCUGUAGAUAAAUAACCCUACAGUGGAACGGAGCUGGAUUUUUAAG